rnacentral:rRNA from 1 species
GAUGAACGCUAGCGGCAGGCCUAAUACAUGCAAGUCGAGGGGGCAGCGCGGUAGCAAUACUGGCGGCGACCGGCGCACGGGUGCGUAACACGUAUGCAACCUACCUUCAACUGGAGGAUAGCCCGGCGAAAGCCGGAUUAAUACCGCAUGAGACCUGAGGGUGAAAGCGGGGGAUCGCAAGACCUCGCGCUAUUGGAGCGGCCGAUAUCAGAUUAGCUAGUUGGUGGGGUAAAGGCCUACCAAGGCAACGAUCUGUAGUUGGUCUGAGAGGACGACCAGCCACACUGGGACUGAGACACGGCCCAGACUCCUACGGGAGGCAGCAGUGGGGAAUUUUGGACAAUGGGCGCAAGCCUGAUCCAGCAAUGCGGCGUGCAGGAAGAAGGCCUCGGUGUAACUAGCUUUGUAUA